rnacentral:lncRNA from 1 species
GAGUUUGAGCGAUUGCAAGAGGACCUACCUAUGGAGUCAGUGGUGCACCAUCUGAGAACAUCAUUGUGCAGUGUAAUGCAGGUAUAUUUGGACCAGACGGGACACCCUAAGGAUGGUAUAUUUAAACUAGUAAUAGAAUUUCCUGAAGAAUAUCCAAAUAAGUCACCAACCAUUAGGUUUUUAUCCAGAAUGUUUCAUCCAAAUGUGUAUGCUGGUGGUAGCAUAUGUUUAGAUAUCCUUGCAGAAUGGAUGGAGUCCCACAUAUGACUUCUCUUCCAUCUUAAUUUCAAUUCAGUCUCUUUUGGAUGAACUGAAACCAAACAGUCCAGUCAAUAACCAAGCAACACAGCUUCAUCAGAAGUACGAGGAGAGGGUUUCGGCCAUUGUUGAGCAAAGCUGGAAUAAUUCAUAA